UGCUAGUGUUACUUAUACAUAGUAUUCGCCGUUACUUUUCUUUCUUUACUGCAAUUUCUUGAAUUUUAUGUUAGAGGUUGCUUCUUUUCAAAGAAAAAAAAAUGUUAGAGGUUGCUUGUAUAGACUGGUGGUACUUGAUUUUAUAUGUUGGUAUUACUUGUACAGUGUAUUGGUUGUUACUUUUCUUAUUUUAUUCCAGUUUCAUGUUAAAGGUUCCUUGUAUAGACCGAUGUUACUUGACUUUCUAUGAUGAUGUUACUUAUACGUUGUAUUCGCUGUUAUUUUUUCUUUGUUUUACUACAGUUCUUGAAUUUCAUGUUUGAGGUUUCUUAUAUAGUCUAGUGUUACUUGAAUUUCUGUGUUGGUGUUAGUUUUAGUUAUUGCAGUUUCUUCAAUUUUAUGUUAAAGGUUCCUUGUAUAGAUUGAUGUUACUUGAAUUUCUAUGUCGGUGUUACUUAUACAUUGUAUUCGCUGUUACUUUUCUUGGUUUAUUGCAUUUUCUUCAAUUUCAUGUUAGAUGUUAUUUGUAUAUACUGAUGUUACUUUAUUUUCUAUGCUGAUGUUACUUUAUUUUCUGGCUUUAAACGCAUUGGGCUUAUUGUAAGUGUGAACAUGUCACACCAUCAAGUUGAUGUUGUGGCUGGUCACAUAUAAGACUUGAGGUUGGGGUUGUUGGCUGAGUGUUCUUAGCCUUCUGUUUGGCUUGGGCUGCAGGAGAAACCUGUUUCUCCUCCUCCCUCCCUUGGUGUAAUUGGUUUGAUUGAUUAAUGAAAUCUUAACUUGUCAAAAAAAAUGGUGGAAAACCAUUUUUCUAGUGUUGGAAAACUAUUUUCCCAAUGGUGGGAAGCAACUUUCUCAAAGUAGAAAACAAAUUUUCUUUUGAAAAUAAGGUUAAUGAGUACAUAUUGGCCAGGCUGAUAUCAUCUCCAUAACAGAAUUUCAGUGCCUUUCCACUGUAGCUUUUCAAAUGGACUCGUGGGGCAGAUCAUGAAUCCAAAAUACUUAAUAUUGGAUUCCGGAUUAGAUUUGCACUUAGACCAUAAAUUUUCAUUUUUUUUACUAAGGCAAUUAAGAAAAAAAAUGUCCUAUUAGGCCAGAAUUCUAUACGUGCAAGUCGAUUCAGCUCGGAUUAACAAGCUGAUUAAGGUUUUGUUCUCUUCA